rnacentral:rRNA from 1 species
GACGAACGCUGGCGGCGUGCUUAACACAUGCAAGUCGAACGAAGAGCGACGGAAGCUUGCUUCUAUCAAUCUUAGUGGCGAACGGGUGAGUAACGCGUAAUCAACCUGCCCUUCAGAGGGGGACAACAGUUGGAAACGACUGCUAAUACCGCAUACGAUCUGACCUCGGCAUCGAGGAUAGAUGAAAGGUGGCCUCUACAUGUAAGCUAUCACUGAAGGAGGGGAUUGCGUCUGAUUAGCUAGUUGGAGGGGUAACGGCCCACCAAGGCGAUGAUCAGUAGCCGGUCUGAGAGGAUGAACGGCCACAUUGGGACUGAGACACGGCCCAGACUCCUACGGGAGGCAGCAGUGGGGAAUCUUCCGCAAUGGACGAAAGUCUGACGGAGCAACGCCGCGUGAGUGAUGACGGCCUUCGGGUUGUAAAGCUCUGUUAAUCGGGACGAAAGGCCUUCUUGCGAAUAGUGAGAAGGAUUGACGACCGGAAUAGAAAGCCAC